CAGCUGACCAUCUAGUGAGGGCUCUGGGGAAACCGGCUUCUCUCUGUUCUGACCAAUGAACAGGGAGGAGGGGAAGCUGUAGCCUCUCGGUGGGCUUCUGAUCGGGAAAUAAAACGGAUAACCCGGCGGGGAAGCUCCACCUUCCACACCUCGAUGAUGAGCUGCUUCCUGAAAGAGAGGUGGACGGAGACAAAGGUCACAGAGGUCACAGCGAGACAAUAACCACCUCAUGCCCACAGCGGUGUUGUGAUGUUUGGCUUUGUGACGGAAUCCAUGCUGUAAAUGUCAACAGAUGCUUUCUGGUCCCUUGUGGGCGUUAACCACUACAGGAAGCCUCUCCCCGCCCUCACAGCGGGGUGAGACAAGUCUGAUGAAAAAGUCAAGACACAUGUGUGCUACACAGGAGUCAAAGCAGCCUCAUGAACAGUCUCGCACAGCGGGCCAUCGACCAAUCAGCCAAGCUAAGCUAAUUGCCUCCUGGCUCCAGCUCCAAUCUGUAUGCACAGACAUGACAGUGAAUUUCCCUCUGGACGAGAAAAAUGGCAUGGUGCGGGGAGACGGAGAGUGAGUAGGCGGUGAAAACGGC